CCUGCGUCUCCUCGUCUUGCUCUCAUCCACCGUGCAGCCGCCAUUGUCUCUCGUCAUCGUUGGUCACCCAUCGCUGGCAGUUUGCUCGUUGCCUGCUUAGCCCGUGGUCGGCUUCUUUCGCCAUGGCUCCUCGCGCUGCUGCUGUUGCGUUUGGCUAGGGCUUGGUCUUCCUUUGAAACGUCCGGCUGCUUCAUCGUCUAAUUUCCUCACUGCCAGUUCGCCAAGC